GCUGAACAAUAUUUUAAGAAUCAAAGAAAAAAGAACGGUGGUCUUAUGUCAGAUAUAAAAGAAAUAUAGAGGAAGGAAAGGGAGAAUUAAAUAAGGGUUAAAGGUUGAACUUCUAUAGAAAGGUAAGUUUGAUAUAAUAAGUAGUAGGAAAUAACUUUGGAUCUAUUAAUCUUAAGCCAAAAUGAAACAGAGUCAAAUUCAAGUAGAGCUGUCCUGUCUAGCAUCUCUGUAACUUCAAAGCUUUACAACACAAGUCUUAAGGAAGAAAAUAUUGAGUUUAAAGAAAAAUAUUUUCCCAAAAAAAAAAAAAAAAAAAAAAAACAAAGUGAGUUCCAGGACAGCCAGGGCUAUACAGAGAAACCCUGUCUCGAAAAACCAAAAAAAAAAAAAAAAAAAAAAAGAAAAAUAUUUUCAUUAUAAUGUUAAGUUUUAGUUCUUAUAAAGUUGCUGUUUGCUGGCUUUGUUCCUCUCUCAAUAUUCUUAUGUAAUCAGGGAAAACAUUAGAAGAAGAUAUAUUUUGAAAAGCUGUGUAAUCAGUGCAUAAAAUUUCUGAGGAAAUGAUCUUAUGUAUAAAUAAAGCCUGAAAGAGACUAAAGUAGUCAGAGUGGAAAUAACCAGAGAUGUGCUUCCUCUCUGUCCCGGCUCUCAUGAGGGGAUGACUUCCCCUGUCUGGUCCUUCCUUCCCUUUGCCACUCCUGUAUCCACCCUUCUUCAGACCUGCCCUCAGCCGAGGCUGGUCCCCUGCAGUCUGUCACAAAUUGCAUCAUUUGCUGUAUUUGCCUUUUUUACUUGGACUCCUCUGGGUCCUGCCUAGUAUACUUACCUAAUUCCCACAUAAUUCAAAAUUUUCAAAUUGAUUGUUUCUUGUGACCGAAAAGCUUUUAUUAUGUUAUUUGGAAUUUUUCUUCUACAUGGGUACUACUUUUUAUUACUCAAGAGGUGUCUUAUAAAUUUUAAUAUUCUCAGUAGUGUGAUGGCUGAAAUCGAAAGAUCUCUCAAUGUAGCAUCUUCAUAUUUCUAACCAUCCUUCCCUCUGUCCUCCGCACAGAACAUAAGCACUGCGGCAUUUGAGUCCGCUCUGCACUGCUUUUAUGACUAGAAUUCUGUGCCUUGCUUCCCAACCUCUCUCACUCUGUGAGUCUAAGAUACAUGGGGAGGGCACACACACUUGUCAUUAAUUUGGGGUAACACUGAUGUGCAUGUUUGUUCCUUAUUAAAAGUUAACACACAAGGUAAUGGGUUUUGUUAUGUCAUUUUUCAAAAAAGGAAUUUCAUUUUCCGUUUACUGCUGCUGCUGCUGGAAUUCUGUUGUGGCCCUGGGUCUUGCACAUGCUCAGCAAGCACCCUGCCACUGAGAGACUUCUGUCCUUCUAUCUCUCAGUCCUGGCCUUUGAUGGUUUAUACAUGCACACAGUUUGGUCCUUUUAGCAGCCCACUCCCCAUUGUUCUUUCUCAUUCUCCUCCCACUGAACUCCUUCCCAACAAAUCCUGGGCCUUUUUAAAUAACUUUUUGUGUGAGUUGUGUUGCUGCAGCUGUUUUGUGAUCCACUGUGUUUAACUAGGAUUGCUUGCAGAGCACGGGCAGCUCAGCAGUGACACACCGUGACGAAAGUGACUCCCCUUACACAGUUAUAAUCUAGAAUGAAAGAAGUGCUUGCUGUUGCUCUUACUUCUGAAAAGUCACUGCCUUUAAAUGUCCAGCCACUCUCUUAACAUAAUGAUAAGAAGAAAAUAUCCAAGAGGAAAAAAGUUUUUAAAAAAUAUGUUAUGUUUGACUCUUAUAGCUGGGGCUCUCAUUGAAAAUGAGUGCCAAAAUUGAGAUGUCUGAUUUUAAGUGUAGACAUUGCUUGGAGUGAAAAUCGGUCAGAAAAAUUAAUUACAGAAAAUCGUUGCUUGCUUUUAUGCUUUAUUUGUUGUUGUUGUUUUAGUCAUUUCUGAGUGCUUAUACUUUUUGUAUUACCUAGACUAUAGUUUUGCCUCUCUGUUGUAAUCAUUUAAAUCUUAAUUUCAGCUAAUGAGUAAAGAGUCUCCUGUCUCUGCUGGACAUGAUGCCUAUGUUGAUCUUGAUCGCCAGGUAUGUAGUUAUCUUUACUCAUGCAUUGAUUGACACAGGUAAAUUUCAGAUAUCAGUGAGAAAAUGCAGUUGAAAUUGCUAAUGGGAUACAUUGAUUAAAAAUGUUUAUAUUUUGCCUAAAUUUAAGAACUUGAGCUAAUUUGUUAACUGAUAUUACACAUUAUAGUUAAGCUUGAACUUUGUAUUAAAAGUAGUACUGCAUGGGCCAGUGAGGUGUCUCAGGAGGCAAGGGUGCUUACUGGCAAGAUUGAUAAACUGAGUUUACUCCUCAGGAACCAUUGGUAAAAGGAAAGAGCACAGCACAUCAAAUUGUCCUUGACUUCUACAUGCAUUUAUGUGUGCGCACACACAGACAGACAGACAGACCGAAUGAGUUAAUGUGGUACUAAAAAAAAUAUGGUAGUAUUGCAUUGCCCACUUUAAAACAAAUUUAUUUAAUUUACAGUAAUCCCUGUUCUCUAGUCAUGAAUUUCUUCUGUUCUAUAACUUUCUGUAUAGGCCAGGCUGGCCUCAAACUCACAGAGGUCAACCUGACUCUGACUCCAGAGCACUGGGAUUAAAGGAGUGUGCAGCCACACGUGGCUGGGAACAGCUGCAUUGAAAAGGAACUUUGCAAUGUAUUUUUAAGAAUUAAAUACUGUUACAGUGGUUUGUAGCUUCCAUUAUCUACAUGGGCAGAAAUCUUUGUGUCUUUUGCUUUCUCUUAAUUUGGGCUCAUGAUUUUAAAUGUUAUAUAAGAAAGUCUUUGGACAUGAUAUAAUUUCAAUCCAAACCAUAAUUUGCCUUUCUCUUUGUGGUAUUGUUUCUUUGCUGUUGUUGGUAAUUUAUGUUUUUGUAUAUUUAUUAAACAGAGGUUUAUAUAUAUAUGAAAUAAAGAGACAAAUUUUAUUUUAAUCGGUGUUUUUACAAUUUGCUAACUUAGACUUUAUUAAGGGAAUAUGAGUUUGAGACCAGUAUGGUAAAUGUAGGAAAUUUCAUCCUAAUUACUGCUAAAUAGCGAGACUCUGUCUCAACAAAAAGCUGCCCCCCCCCAAAGUGCUUAUUUUCAGUUUUUACCAGGAAUGUUCUUAAUUUCCUUUACAUUACCUCCCAAGAAAUAAAAAAUUUUAAUUCUGUGUUACACCUCUGUAAGUCUUCAUUUUUGUAUUGAAAUAUUUCUUGUGCUUACUUUUCUUUCUAACUAGUUGAAGAAAACUACCGAAGAACUAAAUGAAGCUUUGUCAGCAAAGGAGGAAAUUGCUCAAAGAUGCCAUGAAUUGGAUAUGCAGGUAAGAGCUCCUCUGUGCUGUGUCCCACCACAAAUACGAUCACGUGAUUCAGUCUCACUACAUGUGACCCUAAUUACAAAGAGAGAGAGCAGAGCAAAUAGGGUUCUGAUUUAGAGGAGUGUGCUCUCUGUAAUUUAACUAAACUCAUUCAUUAUAAAUGAACAUUACAAAUAUAGAAGC
rnacentral:lncRNA from 1 species